rnacentral:lncRNA from 1 species
UACCUUUACUUUUAAUGUAAUUUAUCUAAUUGUAAGUCUAUAUAUUUUUAUUUUUUAUAACAGCUGACAGAAUUUUCUGAAAAUUUAAAAAUUGGCUCUUAUAAGCUUGUAGAAGCUGGUUCUAGCACAUCACUGCUGCCAAGAUGAGACCAUUCAACACUUGGCCUCUUCCUUUACAAACGAAUUGGGGAAAUUGUGCUUUUAUAUGUGAACUAAUUAGAGAAUAAUUCAAGACAUUGCAUACUUAAAUAUGAACUAGGAAAUCUAAAAUGCUGAGGAACAUUUUAACCUGUUGCAAAUGGAAACUGUUGGAAACUUCUACAUCAGCUGGCCAUUCAAAUAACACUCUUGGCAAUUCAGAAAAACUAGUAAGGCCAUAUUUGAAGACUGUCAGCCAGCUCUUAAGGCUCUCUUCUUUAUCAUGGCAUAGGAGCUUCUCAACACAGAUGGACUUUUUAAUGGUAAAGCUUCAGAAUUUGGAAACCAGCUAUUUUCUUUGUCAUUUUAAUUAUAAAUUAUAUGCUCUAUUCCCUAUGUUUUAAUGAAGAAUUAAGAAAAAUAAGAAUCCUGCCACUGUAUUCUUUCUGAUUUU